CUGCAGCCAAUUAAGCUGACCAAGUCCCUUUCCCCAUGGGGCUUGGUGUGCACUGAUCGCAAACUGUAGUCACUUUGGGAGUAUAUGCAGCCUGAUGCCUUAUGGGCUGCACAGAGGGACAUUGGAGACAAUU
ensembl:snoRNA LOC120100341 small nucleolar RNA SNORA70